rnacentral:tRNA from 1 species
UUAUUGGUGGUUCAGUGGUAGAAUUCUCACCUUUCACGCAGGAGACCUGGGUUCAAUUCCUGUCAAUGAA